rnacentral:rRNA from 1 species
UACGAAGGGGGCUAGCGUUGUUCGGAAUUACUGGGCGUAAAGCGCGCGUAGGCGGACCUGCAAGUCGGGGGUGAAAGCCCGAGGCUCAACCUCGGAACUGCCUUCGAUACUGCGGGUCUCGAGUCCGGGAGAGGUGAGUGGAAUUCCUAGUGUAGAGGUGAAAUUCGUAGAUAUUAGGAAGAACACCAGUGGCGAAGGCGGCUUACUGGUCCGGGUUCUGACGCUGAGGCACGAAGGUCAGGGGAGCAAACGGGG